rnacentral:rRNA from 1 species
UCCUAUUAGCUACAUGGUAAGGUAAAGGCUUACCAUGGCUACGAUAGGUAGGGGUCCUGAGAGGAGAUCCCCCACACUGGUACUGAGACACGGACCAGACUCCUACGGGAGGCAGCAGUGAGGAAUAUUGGACAAUGGGCGCAAGCCUGAUGGACCAUGCCGCCUGUAGGAGGACGGCCCUAUGGGUUGUAAACUACUUUUAUACGGGAAGAAACCUAUCCUCGUGAGGAUAGCUGACGGUACCGUAAGAAUAA